rnacentral:rRNA from 1 species
AUUGAACGCUGGCGGCAUGCUUUACACAUGCAAGUCGAACGGCAGCGCGGGGCAACCUGGCGGUGAGUGGCGAACGGGUGAGUAAUACAUCGGAACGUACCCAGAAGUGGGGGAUAACGUAGCGAAAGUUACGCUAAUACCGCAUACGUUCUACGGAAGAAAGUGGGGGAUCUUCGGACCUCAUGCUUUUGGAGCGGCCGAUGUCUGAUUAGCUAGUUGGUGAGGUAAAGGCUCACCAAGGCGACGAUCAGUAGCUGGUCUGAGAGGACGACCAGCCACACUGGGACUGAGACACGGCCCAGACUCCUACGGGAGGCAGCAGUGGGGAAUUUUGGACAAUGGGCGCAAGCCUGAUCCAGCAAUGCCGCGUGAGUGAAGAAGGCCUUCGGGUUGUAAAGCUCUUUUGUCAGGGAAGAAACGGCCGAGGCGAAUACCUUCGGCUAAUGACGGUACCUGAAGAAUAAGCACCGGCUAACUACGUGCCAGCCGCCGCCGUAA